rnacentral:rRNA from 1 species
GGGACGAACGCUGGCGGCGUGCUUAACACAUGCAAGUCGAACGAUGAACCACUUCGGUGGGGAUUAGUGGCGAACGGGUGAGUAACACGUGGGCAAUCUGCCCUUCACUCUGGGACAAGCCCUGGAAACGGGGUCUAAUACCGGAUAGCACUUCCACUCGCAUGGGUGGAGGUUAAAAGCUCCGGCGGUGAAGGAUGAGCCCGCGGCCUAUCAGCUUGUUGGUGAGGUAAUGGCUCACCAAGGCGACGACGGGUAGCCGGCCUGAGAGGGCGACCGGCCACGACUGGGACUGAGACACGGCCCAGACUCCUACGGGAGGCAGCAGUGGGGAAUAUUGCACAAUGGGCGAAAGCCUGAUGCAGCGACGCCGCGUGAGGGAUGACGGCCUUCGGGUUGUAAACCUCUUUCAGCAGGAGAAGCGAAGUGACGGUACCUGCAGAAGAAGCGCCGGCUAACGUACGUGCCAGCAGCCGC